GCUCGCUUGUAUCGUUCCAAUUAAAUUCAGAUAUAAUGCAGAUAAAUACUUCAGAUAAUUACAAAUGGGGCCCAGUCAAGAUGAAAGUCAAAAGCAUUGGUGCUACUGUAGAUGCCAACAGACUACCAGCAAACACAAUGUUUGCAGGACUUCUACAACUAGGAUAAAGUGACAUAGUCCAGGACCCGAGGUAAACAGUUUAGCGGCGCUACAACACGCUACAGCAGGUCCGUUUGACAAGAAAGUCUUCUGUUACAGACACUUGGCUUACUUUGUUAAAGUGGUUUACCUGUCCAGCAGAAAGGUUACAGGGUCACCAAGAUCCCCAAGCGUCCCCCAUCGUUCAAGUUGACCCGGCUUUUUAGCUCUUGUCCGGUCUACCUCUGUUUUAAGCGCCCGUUAUUCCUCCAGAGUCUCCGGUAUUUACUUUGUUUUCUUGCUUGUUUUGGCAGUUGUGGCUAAAGGAGGAUUCAGACAAUUUUCCGAACUUUCUGGUUGGUUUCUACUGUCCGAUAUUGUAGCACGCUAACUUUGUUUGGGCUCUUGAACGACACGGGGGAGCAGCGUCUGCCUCACAACCAAUCAGGUUGGGGGAGGCGGGGAACGGCUUUGUUUACAGUCAGAAAGAGCGGGCCACUCAAAAAAAUUAAAAUGUUGACUACACAAACAUAAGAGAACACAUAGCUAUUGACUGAUAUUAAAAGCUUUUUUGUAAAUACACCACAAAAAAGAUGCUUCUUUAACGGAUUCCUGCCUACCCCACCUUUAAGGCCGUAUAUGUUCUGCUUUGUGGAACUACACUUUGCAAGACGGAUUAAUAAAUAAAUGAAAUAAAUGAAACAAUAAAUGUGAAGAAAUACUUUUAGCCUUCUCAGGAAUAUUUUUUUCCUCUUCUGUUACAAAUACAUCAGGAUAUAUCAUAGAUAAAUUGUCUUGUGAUAAACAGGGUAUCUCAGAAUCGCUGUAUCAUGGUUCCGGCAUUGUCGUGAGGGGUACACUAAAAUUGUACGUUGCGAUUUUUCUUUCCUCACUAAAUGUCGUAAAGUGUUCUCCUUUUUAGUGUUGUGGAAAUUGCCACCCUACCUCUGGGGUUCAUGUUUUUCUAAAGUUUGUUCGUUGCACUUCUUCAUUUUCUCAAUCUAAACUCUUCAGACAGAAAACAGAGAAACUUGAUUCCUGAUUUCUCCUGGAAAAAGAAAUGUUGUUUUUGCAGCUGAAAACAUUCAGCUCUCCCAGAACUGGGUAUUAAAAAGUAAUUAAUUCAUUUUUCAUUUAUUUUGUGAGAGUGUUCCCCACUAUCCCAUCCAGACAGCUGCAGGAUGAAUGCAUGACAGAGCACUUAAGAAGCGAGAGAAAACAUAAAGGAGAACCUCGGAGCGAGCGGUUUUCUGAGUGCUGUUUAGUCUGUUAACUUUCAUCCGCCUGCCGUCAAACCUGAUUCACAAGCUGUUCUGCAACCACAGCACAGGACUCCCUCUCCCAAACUGAGCCUCCGUGUGGUUUACAUGAAAAUCCACUUCCUGCUGAACUCCAGUCAGCUCCACGUCAGCGCCCUCGCUCUCUCUGCCUCGACAGACGCUGCAGAAAUCUCUCCUCUUGCCUGAGGAGCAGCACUCAGACCAUAUGACGCUGAAUUUCUCCGGAGCUUUGGGUCUCAUGUCGCCUGAGGGUUUGUUACGUUGUGACAGCAGAAAACAUGUAAGCAUUACAACGUGCAAGAGGCGCCAUCUGUCUGGAUCCAAAAGACGCUCAGAGUAAAUCAGUGUGGAGGUUCUGCAUGAGGCUGUAAAGCCACAAAAUACCACGAGUGUUAGCGAGGAAAGUUCAAUAGUCUAACUGAGAAUUCUCAUGUUUUGUUUUUUUGUUGUUGUUGUCAUGUUGAAAAAGCAAGCCAAGGUAAAGGUGCUCUUUGUGUAGCUUUCUACAGUGAAACUGAGACUCACUAAAACUGCUGAGAGGAAACUUCUUUGGUAAAUGUUUCGAACCAAAAAUGUUGGGUUUUUUUUCGUAGUCUAGAGGGAUGACUUUAGCUUGUAACUCUGCAACAAGCCAGAGUUAAGCCUCUGUGUAAUCUACUAUUUACAGUGAAACUGAGACCUGCCAGAAUAAAAUAAACUGGCUCUACCGUGGAUGUAAAAAAACAAACCGGAAAUGACAGAUUGUAUUUUGCAGACUUUUAUCUUUUAAAGUUGAUAUUUAAAUUCUCUAUAUAUUUAACUUUCUACAGUAAAACUGAGACUGCCCAGAGCGAAGUGUACUGCAGGUACUUCAUGGGGUGAUGUAUUGAACCAAGGGAUUGGGGUGUUUAUUCUGUAGUCUUAUCUAGAUGGGUGGCUUAAGAUAGUAAUAUCCAAGCACACCUAAAACACCCGCCCUUGUGGUGUGGAAUCACUCACAUUGAUCAUAAUGCUUGCGUACUUGAUCCACCUGCUGUUCCAGAUCUGAGCACAGCCGUUCAGGAUCCUGUGGGUUUUAGCCGUUAUGAAGGUUUUGAUUUUUUUCAGACAAAUCUUGAGUCUUGAAAAACAAUACCGCUUUGGAUCAUUUAUCGCUGACCUCUUGUCGUGCUGGACUCCCCCACAAGUUGGCAUUACGUCAUCAAACAAAAGCCAAUCAGUCAUGAGAUUGUUUGGCACCGUGAGACAAAAAUACGUUUUCAAGUGUAACAUAUAACCUUAAACAAACAGCACCUGAGAGCCACAGUAGGUUAACCCCAGAAUAAAGUCUGAUAUGGUCUGACAUCCUGUCCCAGAGCGUACAGAGCCUGUUAAGAGGGUAAUUAAACAGCUGACAGUGAGGAAUUACAAACCAUGACACUUUAAUGUCGCUCAGACCAGCCGAGCAUUUUUAAACCGUCACCUUGUUGAUGUAUCCGUCCAUAUCUGUGUAAAAGUGUGUGAAUGAUCGUGUUUCCAGGUCUCUGUUUACUUUCAGGUGCACAACAGUGUGUUAGUGUGUGUUAGUGUGUGUGUGUCAAACAUCUUUUCUGCUGCUCCUUAAUGUUUGAUAGGUGGGGAGUGGCAGGCCCUGCCUCAUGUAUUUUUUAAGGAAAAGUUACCCAGGCGUUCGCCGUGCUUUGUUCUGCCUUUUAGCUGCCCUACUUUAAACUUUGCUACAGCGACGGCAGCAGAAGAAGAAGAAGAAGAAGAAGAAGAAGCAGGGAAUCAGAUGUCAAAUCCACCCGCUGCUGUGAACAACAGUUUCACACUUUCGCAACAAAAGGGAGCUCCCUCACUACACAGUAAACAAUCUGCAGCGACUGUUUCAUGCAUUUACCGGAGAAUUUACAGACAGGGCGAUGGGCGUCACGGGGCGCUGCAUCAGGGGAGAGUGAGGACCAUUCAGAGAGUCUCUGCUCGGUCAUAAGCUGCAUAAAUAGAAUAUUUUCAUCAGAGUGUAAUAAUAAAGGUGUUUGUUUGUUACUCUCUGUGUUUAUAGUUCAUUAAAAAUCUACAGAGAGUCUGUAAUGAGCAGAAAAAUGGAGCAAAAGUCUGAAGAAAUGAACCUCGCGGGCUGAAAACUGAAGUGAACUUUGGAGCUGCAGUUUCUUUACUGUCCACUAGGAGCCAUCUUCAAAAGUGAGUCAGUCUCCAUAGAUGGUGGCUGUUUUCAAACUGUCCUAUCGAGUACUGUGUUCGAUAGUAGUAUGUAGUAUGACUGCAAGUCGGCCGUUAUUCUGUAGUGUGGUUGGCCCGGUUUAGCUGGUUUUCAGUAUGAAAAAGUCCUUCAUACGCUGGUAAAUUGCACAAACACUACAAUGUUGCCCAUUCAUUUACACACUGAAAAAAAUCUUUUCUUUUCGAUUUUUUUUCUGGAUUUUUUAGCCCGGUAUUAGCCAUCAAAAACGUGUCCUGUCUAUGCAAUGACUCGUUGAUCUGUCGUGUUGUGUCGUUGGCGAACGAUUUGUUCAAAAGAACUAAAUCUUUUAAGUGAACGUACUGAACUGAAUCACUUCCUCGAGUGAUUCAUUUGUUUCUCACUUCAGUUGAGCUUCCUGUCCAGCUGUGUGAUCGAAACAUGGCUGUGUGUGGUCAACAUCAGGCGUACAGAAUAAAGGAUGAGGAGAGGCAGGAAAACUUAAGGUGAUAGAAAUCGAGGAUAAAACUGUACGGUAUGAUAACAAAACAUUCUUGUCAGUGGUUUUCACACAAAAUGCUGAAAGAAGGAAGAGAAGAAGACAGGCUGUCAGAAGGAGAAAUCUUUUGGCUGUCCUCUUAGAAAAUGAACACUCUGGUGAAAAGUUUCGCCGCUCUCCACCUUUCCGCCGUCUGCCCAGGCGCUUUGCAUUGUAGGUAACAGUGGGCAAAGCAGACUGGACCGAUGCAUACUGUGAAAUUUUCCCGAGUCAGUGCGUCAUCCGGGAAUUUUUGGCAUACUUCAAAUUUCGCAUUUGUACGCCUACUGCAUACUACAUACUUAAUUUUGGUCAAAUCAGUACAUACUGCUAGUGUAGUAGUUGAAUUUGAAAACAGACGGUGUUUACAGACUGAGGCACCAGAGCCAAGUAGCAACAUUUUAAGUUUAUGCAGAGAAAACGAGCUGGAUACAGUCGAGACUCGUUCAUCUCUCCAAAUCAAGUCUUGUUGUUUUGAAAAGUCCUGAAGUAAAAAGACACACAGUCGGUGUUUUCUCAUGGACUCUGGAGACGAUUUCAGGAAAACAACAAAGUAUUCCUCUGCAGCGUGUCGAGGAGGAAACACGGGAAUCAGCAGGACUCGGAGCUUCAGAUGUGAUACGAAUGCUGUGUCAGACAACCAGAGUUCACAGCAGCUCAAAUACACACAAAACACACAAAGGUGUGUGCUUUCACCUGUGUGUGAAUGCAGAGAGUUAUUUAUGAGAGUUUUUCUAACGUGCGUGUUCACUUUCUUGUGCUUAAUGUGGAUAUAAAUCAUUGAAGUGUACACAUGUAUGUGCAUUAGUGUAUGUCUUUGUGUGUGUGUGUGUGUGUGUGUGUGUGUGUGUGUGUGUGUGUGUGUGUGUGUGUGUGUGUGUGUGUGUGUGUCUAACUUUACUGUUAAUAACCUUGUGCCCAUUUUUACACUGGGUAUAAAUGAUUAAAACUCACACAAAUCUAUGCAAGUGUGUUACAAAUGUGUGUGUGUGUGCGUGUGUGUGUGUGUGUGUGUGGGCCAGCCUCCAGCCUAUCACUCCUGAUUCUGCGGCUCUUCUGCGAAUAAACGACCAGUUUGAUCCAUAUAAAACCGCGAUGGUUUAUUGAUCAGAUAUAUGAAUUAUGGACGUCGUGUUUAAAGAUUUACAGAGCUACUGGGACUUCCUCGGAUGAUAAAAUAUUUACGUGCAGUACACAAAAGAAAAAAUAUCUGCGUUGUUUGUGUAAAAAUAAAACAGGUUUGAAUCAAAGGUUUGUCCAAGGUGUUUUUUUUUUUCUUUUCCAAUUACAGCAAAAUAUCAAAAAAAUGUUGAUCAUAUGCAAGUCCUUUAAACCGGAGAUUUAAUUUUUUUUAAACUGUAAGGACGACAUUUUAAAUGUUAAAACUAAUGAUAAAAUACAGUCACUUGCUACUAAAUUAGGUACAUCUGUUUAACUGCUCGUUAACACAAAUAGCUAAUAAGCCAAUCACUGUGACAAAUGCAGAACUGAGGAUUGAUUACAGAAAAAAAAAACAAGGAAAAUUCAAAGUCUCAUUUCAACUCAUUUUUAUUUAUAAAGCACUUUAAAACAACCGCAGUCAAAAUAAAGUGCUGUACAUAAGUGGACAAAAACAACUCAGACAUAAAAACAAUUUAAAGAACAGAUACAUAAACCAUCGAUUGUUCCCUUCGUUUAGACGCAAAUGGAGAAUUCACCCCUGGAAAUGAUGCUUUUUAAAAACUACAGCCAGUAAAGAGUUUGGAAAACUCCAUUUGCACGUUUGCAUGUAAACAGAGAAAACCAGAGACUUGGGGAGCCAACAGCAGCCCCUGUGCGCCCUACAAACUGAUACAUACUGAGUCUGAGGUAGCGUGUGAAAAAAUGUUAUUGUUGAUGUGUGGCGGCUUUUAUUUAGCUAUGGUGGUGCGCCAUUACAUGUACGGGAAACCCUGCAGUUGAUGUGGAAUAGGCAGGGCUGAUCUGCCCACAGCUCCACUAUCCGCUCCUUUUUAUGGCCAGUUAUUCUUCCUACCUUCUUAUUUUUCUUAUUUUGACUGUCAGGUUUCCUUUUCUGCUUUUGUUAGAGCUCAUCUAUUGGUCGUUGGUUGUGUUACAUCACUGCAACAAGGAAAAGACUGCGCAGAUUACCAUCUUAAACUUUACAAUUGAGAUGACGGGAGCAUGCUGUGACUCCAGUAAAACUCCAAGAUUUACUUAAGAUUUUCAGUUUUUUGUCUGGGACUGUGAAAAUCAUUCGGUGGAAGACCAGCAUAACUGGGGAUACUCUGACAUCGACUGAAACAUGCAAUGAACGGACGAAGAAAGAGGGGAAGACAGGGACUAUAUAGACACACAGGGAGACGAGCAACGACAGACAGGUGAGACUAAGACACAGGUGCAGACACUGAGACACAGGUGCAGACAAUUACUAAAGAGGGAAAACACAGGAAGUAAAACUAGACUAGACAUGGGAGGAUUGACAACUACAAAAUAAAACAGGAAACACCCGAAACUACGAACAGGAGGGAAACAGGGUCAAACACAAACUGAAAACUCACAAAAUGGGAACAGAGAAGACAGACACACGAGGGGAAAAUGUACAACUAAAUAAAGCCUGGAAAACUAAAUAAAGAAGAACCAAUCAUGACAAUCACAUGGCAACAACUCAGUGGAUUUCGGCAUGUAGACAUGGUCAAGAAGUUUAAACCGCGCAUCAGAGAAGAGGAUUUAAUAGACUUUAAGUAUUUCAGAAACAGCGGAUCUAGGAGGAUUUUAACUCACAACCAAAGAAGUGUGCUGCAGCUGUGUGGAUAAAAACGCCUUGUUGAUGUCAGAGGUCAGAGGAGAGCAGGCGGACUGGUUCAAGAUAACAGAAAGGCAGCAGUAAAUCAAAUACCACUUAAUACAAUGAGGUUCCUCUGAAAACUGGACAACUGAAAAUACUGUAGAUGAUGAAAUCCACUCAUUUUUUCACACUCAGGAACAUUACUCUGAAACUUGAAAAAGAAAUCAAACUUUUUUCAGUCUCUUUCUUUUCAUCCAAAAAGUAAAAAGUAAGAUAACUCCAUUUAAAGUCUCUCCAGGUAUCAGCCCACGUCAGCUCCCGAGAGGUGGACCAGAUCAGACGACACAGGAAACGCCUGAUGAAGCUCAAACUGGUUUUUAAUAGCUGUAAUGACAUUGAUCUGUGUGCUAAUAAAACAGUCCUGCCCGAUUGCUCCUCUGAGUCCAAUAUUCAUCUGGAAUAAUAAAACUCGCUCCUCUGUGAUUGGCUUAGAGACGAGGAGCCUGUAUAACUAAAGCAGCUCUGUUUAGGUCGCAGCAGCUGCUUACUGUACAUGAAGGUCCCGUUGAUUUAAAGGUUUCAUUAAGAACUUAUUAACUAAAGGAGAGGAGCUCAACUGUUUUUUAACUAAAAUGGAAGUUUACCAAAAACAAAACAACUUUCAAGACUUGUUCAACAGUGAUGGAAGAACAGUUCUUUUGACUGAAUCUUUAGAAUCUGUUCAUCAAAAUUAUUCGUUCAAAAGAUUUGUUCACCACAUCAGUCAGUGCUUCAGAGACCCGUCUUGCCAGGUGCAGUACACGAGUGAGUGAGCGGCGCAGAUCAGGAGUUCGUCUUUAAACAAGUCCCUCCCCUUUCCUGCUGCUGAAGUCACAGCGUCGUUCACUGGGUGACACAUGUCGUUCAUUCGCCAAAGUCGUGAAGGAAGAGUCUCUCCCCCAGUAAAGUUAGAGCUUCAACUAACUUUAUAAAUAAAUAUUAUUAUUAGUAUUUUUAUUAUAACUGAGGGACUUUAUCCAACGUCUUUCUGCCUUGUGCCUCACGUCUCACUCAGAGAAGGACUCAUUUCUUUUCCAGCUCAGAAAUAAGACACGUCUGGUUGACGUAGACCCUGUUUUAAAAGACCUCAAAAGUCCUCGGUGUGGUUUAAACUCAUGACAGAGAGGGUCAGAGCGAGUGCGAGAUGACUGAGCGUGCUUAAUAAGCAGUUUGGCUAAAUUUCCCUCACCUUCAUCCCUGCAGAGCUUUUACCCAGCUUUACUGUUUGACUCUGCUCUUCUCAAAAUCAGCUGACUGCUUAAACAGGCUCGCCUUUAUGACAGUUUUGUUUACCUGUCACCUGUGUGUGCGUAUGUGUGUGAGUGUGUGUGAGUGUGUGUGUCUCAGCAGGUGAGACCAAACCAAUUACCGCCGCCCGGCCCUCGCCUGCUUCCGUCUCAGCUGUUAUGGGGUGAAUUUGCAGAGAAAGCAGCUGUAAAUGGGAGCAAAACUCUUCUGAAGCAAAAUGUUUUCGCUGAUUUCAGCAUCUCUGCUGUAAGCACAACAAAUUGUGUAUUCCCCCCCCUCCUCCAGCAGGUUUCCCUGAUUCUGGUUUUCCUCUGCAGAAAUUCUCAGUGUGUCUGUGUGCGAACCAGAUCAACUCUUGUCUCAUCCAGGUUUUUUCAAUCCUGAUGCAACAAUAAAAGUCAUCCCAAAUAAAAAAUGUCAAAUUCAGGACAAAAUGGCUCAUAUAAAUACAUUUAAACACAAUUAUUCUAACAAUAUAAAAUGCUCCUGCUCAUGAACGUGGUGCCCAGUACACCAGGGUGUGUUUCUCUACUUUUUUCCCCUCAGGCGACACGAAAUCUUGAUGCUUCGUGAAACGUAGGGUGCAGAGAGGUUGAGGUAAGUCGUCUGAUUUCUGAUUGGUGUGUUUUGGGUGUAACAUGAAUCAGGUGUGCCUUCAGGUGGGGGUUUGUGUAGCCAGUGAUUAACAGUGUAUAAAUCCUGAGGUACUGGGACUCAACUUGGACUGGGACUCAUAUUUGGGACUUGAUCCAGGGGGGACGCAAAGUUUGGCACCAUCUUCUUUUAGGUAAGCUGAGCCUGAUGUAACAUGUGGUCAACAAAAUGAUGCAAUGAUGUGAGUCCAGGUCGGCACAAAUCUAGGUACUGGUUUCAUUUUAGAUUUUAGUCGAACAAUCAUCGUCUUUACCUCCAAAUCUUUUUAUCCCAGUUUUCUGAAACUUCUCCUGCCUCUGAGCGCUGGUGAGAGGUAAAAACAGAGGGGGAGAAAAGAGGGGGGAGAGAGGAGGAAAGGGGGCGGGAGCAGAGAAACCAUUUUCUAACUGAGUGACCUGGAAAUGUCAAAGAUGAGGAGGCAGAGUUUACACACACUCACACACACACUCACACACCUUCAUCUUCUGGCAGACACAGUCUUAUAAAAUGAUCGACUUCAGACACACUGAUGAGCACACAGUUUUCAGGGUGAGACAGCCCUGCAGGUGCUUCUUCUUCUUCUUCUUCUUCUUCUUCUUCUUCUUCUUCUUCUUCUUCUUCUUCUUCUUCUUCUUCUUCUUCUUCUUCUUCUUCUUCUUCUUCUUCUUCUUCUUCUUCUUCUUCUUCUUCUCUAGUUAAAUGACUUCAGUCUUUGAAGUCAGUAAAGUACAAUUAAAAGAAAGCGGAGCGCAGGAAACUGACAUUACAUCAGCCGUUACAAAUGUUCGCACCCCAGCGGCUGCAUAUGGUGAUGAGACGCAACUGCAGGGCAUCUAACUGGCAAUUUCCACCACAUCCAGAACGGCUACGAAAAGGUCAUAUCCGCAGAUCGUAACUGAUCAUAACCAUUCAAGUUUGCGUGUCAAUUUCCACCAGAUUCUUUCGGUUCUGCUGCUAUUCAGCGGACUCCACAGUUGAUCGCAAGAGUUCUAUUUUUUUCCAAUUGCCAGAGCAUGCUGUGUAAAUACAGCACAGAUUAACCCGUACUGGAAAGGAAGUCGAGGACAGACACAAAAUAAAACAUCCGGCUUCUUUUCAAAAUAAAACUCUGUGUUUUAGGAGGAUCGUAUUUCACACCAUGCAAACAGACAGAGAUGAACAAGUGAAAGGUUUUUAGACGUCAUUUCACCCCGAUGACACCAUGGAUGAGGAGAUGCUGAUUCUAGAAGUCUAAUAGUAGAUUUCCUCCUCUGGAAGGACACAAUCUACUGCUUAUAUGGUUAGCCUCUGGGGCGAAAGACAACUUGCUAUCGCACGAUUGUACGUGAAUCCACGAGUUCUUGUGAGUUCUUGCGAUUCCUGCUUUCUGUAAUCCACCACGAAAUUCACCUCACAAACGGAUCCGGUAGGAAUUGGCUUACGGCAAGAAUCGUCGCCAUUCUGGAUUGGAGCCCUUCCGGAUGCAGUGGAAGAGUCUCAUUUAGGAGACGUGAUGUUGGUCCCUGGAACAUGGUCUUUUUUGCAGAUUUCGUAGAUACUAUCUGUAGCUGAGAAAUCAAGUAAACCUAAAUUGCCAAUGUUGAUAUACGCACACAAAACACGCUCAAAAGGAGGGAUUGUGGCAAUGAAAAUAGCGGCAAAGGUCUGGCGACUACUGUUGUGUAGGCGGAUAUUGUUGAGCAUCUUUUCAGGAUUUCAAGCCACUUUUUUCUUUUACGGAGACACAAAAGUCCCAACUGGCUGAACUGGCCAAGACAAACAAAAGGUUUGCUGGCAAAUCAUUUAAACGCUUUGACCUCGACCAAUAACCACAACUGAGGCACCAUUUCUCUGCCUCCCCCUGCAGGAUAAAAACAGCCCACCCUAAAGAGUGAAAAGCUUUAUCUGACAGCAGGGCCUCUAUUCAGGAAGCACUUUCACAACCCGCACAAAGACCACGGCAGGGAUGAAUAGGAAAGGUAAUUUUUCACACAAGAGGAGUUUGUAAAGACUUUUGUGCAGCCCAGACAGAAAGGGUUGAAGCGUCUUUUCAUGUGUGCCGCUGUUAUUAUGUUUUUUUUAUGAUUUAAUGCUGACAGUAUGUCAACAAAUGCUAACAGGUGGGAUUAACAGGACUUUGUAAGAAACCAAGGUGGAGUUGUUUGGGAUACAUCCUUUAGAGAUGAUAAAAAUAGUGUCUGCAAUUUAGAUGAAAAACUGUAAAGCAAUCUAUCCAAAAGUUAGAGCAGUAUUCUUAUCAGGACCAAGGUUGGACGAGCCAACACAUCAGGUUUUAUUCAACAUAUUAAAGCUGGUUUAAUGUUGUCUAAACAAAAAGACCACGAAACAUAGAGGAAGGACUAAAAAACUGUCCAGGCAGUGGAGGUCAAAGUGGUUGAGAGGAAACCGGAGGGUUAAUGCAGAGCGAGGCCUUUAAUCAACAGAGUUUAUGUCUUUUGGUCGUGUUUUUAAAAAGAAUAUCUCCGACCGAUUAAACCCCCCUGAAGGCAGAAUGAAUAGUCAUAACACAACAUCCCCUCUCCACACUUUCAUUCUGAAUAAACACACUCUCACACAUGCUCCUGACAGCACGCCCACUUUACUUACAUCCUUUAGUUUUCAUUUAUUCAUUUACGUGUCCUUACGUCUCUCCUCCUCUACGAGUCCAAAAAUCAAAAAGAGAGAAUGUGAGAGAGGUCACGUCAGAGGAAACACCGCAGUGUGAGUCAAACAGACCGUCUAUUUAUUCAUUCAUUCAUUCAUUUAUCUUUAGAAUAAAACUUUAAUCUGCUGAAUCAUCCAUCCAUCCAUUUAUUCAUUCAUUCCUCGUUAGAGUACAGCUUUUAUCUGCUGAACCAUUCAUCCAUUCAUUCAUUCAUUGAUCUAUCUGUUCAUUCAUUCAUUUAUUCAUGCAUGUAUCCUUGGAUUAAAACCGUUUUCUGCUAAACCACCCAUUCAUUCAUCCGUUCAUUUAUUCAUUCAUUACAUAAUUAAUUCAUACAUUCAUACUGUACAUAUUUAGAGUAAAACUUUUGUCCACUGAACCAUCCAUCCACAUAUAUAUUCAUUCAUUCAUUCAUUUUUGGAUUAAAACUGUUAUAUGCAACAUCGACUGAAUCGACUUAUCGACUGAAUCAUUCAUUCAUUCAUUCCUCUAUUCAUCCAUUCAUUCACCCAUUAAUUCAUUUAUCUUUGGAUUAAAACAGUUAUCUGCUGAACUAUCCCUUCAUUUAUUUAUUCAUCCAUUCAUUCAUCAAUUAUUUUAUUCAUAAAUGCAUUCAUCUCGAGAUUAAAACUGUUAUCUGCUGAACAAUUCAUUCAUUCAUUUGUCAUUUGUUCAUUCACUCAUUCAUUAAAUAAUUAACUCAUACAUUCAUAUAUCUAUAGAGUAAAACUUUUAUCUUCAUUCAUUCAGCCGUUCAUUUAGUCAUUUAUUCAUUCAUGCAUUUAUCUCUAGAUUAAAAAAGUUAUCUGCUGCAUCUAUUCAUUCAUUCAUUUAUUCUUUAUAUCUUUAAAGUAAAACUUUUAUCUACUUAACCAUUCAUUCAUUCAUCUAUUAAUCCAUUUAUUCACCCAUUAAUAUAUUCAUUCAUCCAUUUAUCUUCAGAUUAAAACUGUUAUCUGCUGGACCAUUCAUCAAUUCAUCCAUUUAGUAAUUCAUUCAGUCAGUUAUCUUAGUCAGUGAACCAGUCCACGUCAGAUCAAUUUAACAAACAAUUAAACCAUUCAUCCAUCCAUCCAUCCAUCAAUCCACCCAUUUUGCAACAAUUCAUCCAAUCAUCAAGCAUCUUUCCACCAUUCCCCGAAUCAAGCAAUCCACCCAUCAUUUUAACAGAAAUUAGAUUGAGAUUUAGCUUUGUAUCUGCUAGACCAUUCAUUCAUUCAUUCAUUCAUUUACUCAGUCCAUCCAUUCAUUUAACCAGACUUUAAUGCUGCCAUGUUUUCCUUUACUCAUCUAUUCAAUUAUUCCUCCUCCAGUCUUUAUCCACCUCCUAUCUAAUUCACACGUCAAUCUCCGGUUACAUGAUUUUUUUUUAACCCAACCACGUCUCUUUCCAUUUUUCCAUCACUCUACCUUUUUACUCUUCAUGUCAUUCAGCCUCUCACCCGUGUUUUGAUUCAUUCAUUGCUCCGUACCUCCCACUCUUCCUCUGUCAUCCAUUCAUCUGCCCACACCGUCCAUUUCCUCUCUUUAUCACACAAACCUCCCACUGCCUCUAUUCUUCCAGUAAUCCAUCCAUCCAUUCAUCCAUUCAGAGACAACUGCCCCCAGACUGAAGAGGGGCAGAUAGAGACAGAGGAGAAAAAGAGGGUUUCAGACGCUGCAUCAAAUCACAUCAUCACGCCAAAUUACCCACGAGUCUCUGCUCAUUUGUCCCCUGUUGCGUCCAAUCUGUCUGUCUGGCUCCAACGCACCGCUGGGCAGCGCUGUUAGGCCUGACCGGUUUCUGGAUCCUCUUCUGAGAAUUGGUCAAAAAAAAAAUCUGGGUCUCCAGGGGACAGGGAGGAAGUGACACAUGGAAAAGUGUCUGCUGCUAAAUCCCCGUUUGGAUUUGCGGAGUGUACAAACAUGGACGAGUAACGCUAAGUAUAGCUGGGAGGAGGAAAGACAAAGUGUGAGGAAACAGGCUGGUUCAACUUCAUCCGAACACCCUAAGUGGGUCACAGAGAUGUCCCCACUUUCUUUCCAAAUAAAAGUAAUGAAAACUUUUUAGUGUACCCACAAUCCAUUACUACAACCCUCUCGAAUUCUCCUUUUUGUGUUUUCAUGAUGGUCACCAAAACUGAACCCCAACAUCCUUCCCACUGUUCAUAAGGCGACUACUUAAAGUCAUGGUUGACGUUUGGAGAGAUUGGUAGUUAUUAUGAACCUCGUUUCUAUGGCGAUCAUGGUCCUAUUGUGCGAUCUCCGCAAAGUGAAGAGAAAAAAGAACGGAAAAAAUCUGUUCACCCUAUCAGGUGCAGGGCUGCAAAAACACUGACCAAUGGGAGCCAUUCAUCCCAGAUAGCUCCUAUUGGUCAAUCUCCUGCUCCGCCUAUCCAUCCAAUCACCUCGCUGUAUUCGACACACCCCCCUCCGCAGUUCCGACUCCCCCCCCAUUUCCUGGCCCUUCUCGGAGAUCUGGGCGGCUAAAAGUAGCGACAGAAGAAAGGGCGGAGUCAAAGAGGAAACGUGAACAAGCGAGGAAUCUAACUGGAAUAAACAUCGGGUCAUCCUUUGAGCGGUCGCCGGCAGCCAGCGAUCACCUAGUUGCGUCAGGUCGCGGCUGUACAUAGACUUUGCAUUGGAAGUCGUUGCUCAAGACGCCGAGGUUGCGUUUGGUCUGAACGCGGCUUUAGUCAUGAAAAUCAAAAACAGUACGAUGGCGGGAAUGACGAUUUCACCCAUUCAUGACCUGCACUUUUCACGUGUUGACGUCAGAUGCCCGCCGGCCAAAUGACCAAUCAAUGUAAACUACAGAGACACGCAAAACACGUAGUUGAUGAUGAUAUCUUGUAGGUUCGUCAUGUAAAGUCUGUUUGUCCGUUUGCAAUAAUGACAGUGUGAGACCUAAACAGACCGAACAAACAAAAACACGGACCUCCAGACUUUCAGGUGUGAAAACACCUUUAGAUUCAGCCCUAAAAAUUUGCAUCAUAAUACAGACCCUGAGGUUUUCUUGACUUUUGGAGAGAGCCUCAUGUGGACAUCCAGGGAACUACAGUUUUGUGACUUGCCUUUAACACCUUUUCACUUCUAUAAAACUCCAAAAGAGCGCUCAGACAACAGAGAAUUUGCACCAUAUGACGCAUUUGUCAGAUUAAACAUUAAUUAUUAAAAAUACGGAUGAUUAAUGUCUGAUAUGUGAAUUAUUGAGAUAUAAACUUUGGCUGAAUUUUCCCCAAGGAAGUUUUUUCACAUCUCUGCUAAAAAAUCAGCAGGAAGAUAAAACCAGGAGUCUGUUAGGUGACGUGAUAAAACUCCUCAAAGUUUAUCGUGAAAAAGUUUUUGUACUAUUUUCCUUAUUUGACUGUUUUUGACAGUGAACGACAUGAAAUUCCAGUUUGUCCCCACACUCAGCCCUAACUCGAGAUCUGCAGUAGAAUAAUCAUCUCCCUCCGUGUCCUCUCUACCUUCACUGCCUCAGGUGGUGUGUUUAGAUCCUCUGGAUUAAUGAAGCGAAUACCGCUGGACUCGGCUCUUUUCCUCUUAUUUUUCCUCCGUCUUCAUUUAUUUUUCCACUCGCUCCUCCCCCUCCUGUCCUUCAUCCUCUCUUCCUCCUGAGCUGAUCCUUUGUAUUUUAUUUUAUCUUUUUUAUUUAUUCUCUCCCCUCGGGUCACUUGUGUUCUGCAGCUUUUCCAGCCUUCACUUUCUGUUUGGUGAACCUCCACAUCUUCGUCCCUCUCGCUGCCUGAGGCUCUGCAGCUGGGAAUGAAUAAGCACGGUGACCUUUGACCUACACUCACUAAUCAAACAUCCACCACGACAUAAAAAAUCACAUCUUCUGGAACUUACAAUAUACAUAAUUUAUAAGAGCGAAUUUAAAUGAAGGCAGCAGGACAUUUUUAAUGUCAAUGUAAUGAAAAAAAAACAGGCUUUCUGCCUAUAAAUACAGAUAUAUGCUGAACAUGAAGUCAUUCUCCAGCCAAACAACCAGCAGACAGUCAGAGAAAAAAUGUCCCCCACACUGUUUCUAUAGUCCACCCAAUGAGAAAACAAAGUAGGGCUGCAGUCAUCAAAUAUUUUAGUACAGUGACCAUACGUCCUCUUUUACCCGGACAUGUCCUCUUUUUUGGAUGCCAUACGGGUUUGUCAGGUGAAUUUUAUAAAACCCCUCAAAUGUCCGCGAUUUUGUACAUAAGUUUCAAUUUUGUGUCGCGUGGACUUCCUGAGUUAGAGGCCCAUAAAAGACACUCGAUCCCACCUGGAAAAAUGUCAAAAUUAAAGGUGGGGUAAUCAGGAUCUGAGAAAGUUCCAGUUUUUAGGAGAAAUCUUGAAUGUAAACUCCACCCCUCCCAACCAGUUUUCCCCUCAGCUCCUCCUCUCCCCUCCCUCUCUGCUCCAUCAAGCCCCGCCCACAAACAGACGUUCCUGCUCGCUCGUAUCGUUCCAAUUAAAUUCAGGUAUAAUGCAGAUAAAUACUUCAGAUAAUUACAAUGGGGGCCAGUCAAGGUGAAAGUAAAAAGCAUUGGUGCUACUGUAGAUGCCAACAGACUACCAGAUAUCAUUAUAUCUCCAAAUAUCAUAAAUAACUAAUAACUAUUGACUGAUAUUAAAAGCUUUAUUGUAUUUACACUACAAAAAAAGAUGCUUCUUUCUCGGAUUCCUGCCUACCCCACCUUUAACUUCGUGUGACUCCACCUCCGCAUAGUCGUGUCCUCUUUUUGGGGAUUCAGAAUGGUCACCCUAUUUUAGAAAUCAGGUAAUCUAUCAUUUAUUCUGGAGAUUCAAUUCUGGUCGAGACUAGACUCUAUUUACAAAGACGGGAUCAGAUCCUCUCCAAUCCCCUAAUCUUCAACCACAUGAGGGAAACACUUUACAGCAUUUGGAGGAGAGGAAGAACUUCCUUCAACAGGCAGAAACCUGAAGGACGACCAGACUGGUGUAAGACAGAUCAAGGUCUCUUUUGUUCAGGUCAUCUGUGAAGGCUUCAUUAAUGCUGAACAACAUCUCCAUGUGGCUCUGAAUGAAAAAAACUGAACCACAUUUUUCCUCCCUGAAGAGUCAGAUAGUCGGUGUAUCUCUCAGUCUGAAUUUACUGAUUAGCCUUCAGCUCUCCUGUUAAAUAUCAGGAUUCAGCCGCUCACGUCCGUCUGAAUUAAGGUCACUUUUUAAUUCAUUCUGUUGCUUUUGGCCAAAUUCUGCGGUAAAAAGAUAAGUUCCCCCUGUUUUAUUUCUUUAUUUCUCAAAACUUUAAUUCUGUCUUUUCUUAUCUCAUUUUUCCUUCUUUUUUAAUUUCAUGUACAGAGCUCCACUCUUCCGUGUUCGUCCACGGCUGUGUCCGGGUUCAGGAGGGGCUCUGAAUACUGUAACUGCAGCAGGUUGGAGUUUGUAUGUUAACAGAUAAAGUACAUAAUCUGAAUGUGUGUGUUUGGUGUGUGUGUGUGUGAGUGUGUGUGUGUGUGUUUGGCAGGUAGUGGGUAGUUAUCAGCUCAGUCCAGCUGCUUCAUGCUCACUAAGCUCUUUACCAGCCAACAAACACACACACAUUCAUCCCUCCACUCUCUCACACAUACACCUCCACCUCCUUCUCUCCCUCCAUCACCGGUUUGACAUCCAAAUUUACAGAAACGCUCACAGGUAGAAAAGUUGCUGUUGUUCGACUCUGAUCUGAACCUGCGGGCAAAAAAGAAGAAGACGGUCGAUAAUGAAAAGACGCGGUGGAGUAACAGUCGUGGUUUACAGCAGCAGGGAUCAGAAAAAUUCAGGCAUUCGUGAUCUUAAACUCCUGAAAAGUCCAGAUGUUGCUAAAUCAACCAGGUACAUCAAAAACAAAUGAACACUGUUGAAACCGUUUUAAUAUUUCCAAUAGUGUUGUGUCGUUCACGAAUGAUUCAAGAUCUGAAAAGCUAAUGGGAUCGUCUUCUACUCCAGAUUUAGGGUUUUGAUUGUCAAUAAAAUGUCCAAAUGUAAAGUAAGAGUGAGAAAACAGCCCUGAGGUGAGUCUGCAGAGACAUGCUGUUAACUUUAACUCCUCGGUGAAAAGUUCAGGGUCCGACUGAGGCCGGGGAGUCUUGGUCCACCUGAAGCUGGCGGUCACUUUGGCUGAAUGGUUUCUAAACCAAUCAAAGAGUUCACACUUCUAUUGAAGCUCUACGUAAAGGUGUGUGUGCGGUCCAAACACACUCCAACGAGUAACGAUCGUGAAUUCAAGAACUACAAAAACCACGAGUCUGAAGUCCGGGUGAUUUUUCCAGGAGGAGCGAAUUGUCCGUGUGAAGAGUGUGAGGAAGAACGUCGACAACCUCAGACUCAGUCAUGUGAAUAAAAGGUUUAUUUUUAUUUACUGAGUGUGUGUGUGUGUGUGCAUGUGUGUGUGUGUGUGUGUGUGUGCUGGCAAUCCACAGAGGAACCUUCGACUUUCUAACACACUGUAUUCCCCGUCUCUGUCUCUCUCUCUCUCUCUCUCUCUAUUCUCCAGUGUGUGUUGCGGUGUGUUUAUGUUCCCAGAGCAGAUUUUCUUUCCGCAUCAUUCAACUCCCCUACAACCAUCAACACACACACACACACACACACACACACACACACACACACACACACACAAGUAGGAAUCUGGGAAGAACCUGGUAACUCUGGUUUUGCUCUUAAACUCACAUAUGAGCAGACGUGGAACAUUUAGGUCAGAAUAAUUAACUCCACCUCCUCGUUACUGAUUCAUUUUCCAUUAAUCAGUGGAUCAGGUAUAGUCCGGAUAGAUCCUUGACCAACCUGGACCCGUUUGACCACUAAUGGCUAUUUUUCUGGCGCAGGAAUCAAGUGAACCGUCACUCUCUUUGGACUGCACCACCGGACUUUAAAGCCUCAUCAAACCAAAGCUAGAAGACAGAACGGGCCGGACUUGUGUGGUUUAAAAACAGGGACUGAAGUCUGAACAGGUGAACACAUCGAACAGGGAGCGGGGAGGGUCAAAAGUUCAAGAAAAGAGGUCAAGAUAUGGUCCAGGAAGUAAGGGUUCACAUGUUUUUACCUCACAUUGUUCCCGGUUCAGCCCCCGUCCAGCAGCUGUUCAUCAUCCUCCCGAGCGGUCAUCUCGCCCAAGGCUUCAAACCUGCAGGAGAGCGAAGUGAAUCUGCAACUUAAAAGCCAAACAGCUCAAUCUUUUGUCAGAAAUAUUUACCUGUUUUUACGUAUUUUAAUUUGAGUCGGUUAAAAGUCUUCAGGUUGUGCUCUGAAAUGGACAUCAGCGGCUCGGUUCACCCUAAAGACAGAAACGUAAACCAAAGACGUAGAGGAGAUUGAAAUAUGUUAAUGCCGCCUGAUUAAUCGACGGGAUUAAACUCAUAUCAAAGACGUGAGAUGGCUCUCACACAGAUCCAGUAAAUGACGGACUGCUUCUUUAACUUCCUCCUAGAUUAAAGAUUUUCUCUCUUUUUUUCUUAUCUCUGUUCUGCCUGAAAUCCAGUUCCAACAAAUCUGAAGAAUUAAGAUUACAAAUCAUCCAGCUGGACCUAACCUUGGUAACUAGCAGCCCGAGGCCGCAGAGAUUUACUGAGUCGAACUGUCAGAUAAAAAAAAACAUUCAGCCGUCUCUUUUUUUCUUCCUGGACCCUCCUUCUGAAAUCAUCUCUUCAUUUGCGGGAUAUCGAGGGAUACAGUGACAGAUUCUGACUCCUGACCUCCUUUCAGGCAGAUCAUCACACUGCCGAUCUGGGAAAUAAGGGCGUCUCUGCUUCCACGCCGCUUUGGAUUGACUCCGCUGUGAGAGUCCCUCAGAAGGUGGUCUGUGUUUUUAAUCCCAAAUCAUCUGAGUCAGCUGAGGUUCAGGAUUAUAAAUAUUUGUGCUUCACAUUCUGCAGGGAUUACAACAGCAUAGCUCUGUAGGAGAAGAGUCCUGCUGAGAAACCAGACUGAUGCGGUCCAGAACGGCUGCAAUCUUUCGUCUUCCGCCAAUUCCAACCGGAUCCAUUUGUGAGGCAAAUUUCAUGGCGGAUUGCGGACAGCAGAAUCCCGAGAACUCACAAGAACCCGCAGAUUCACGUGCAAUCAUGCGAUAACAAGUUGUCUUAAGCCACAUAAUCUACCCAUAUAAUCAGUAGAAUGUGAAACUAUCUGUAACUGCAGUGCACUACAGGAAGUGUUGGGGGCAGUAUCGCUCGCUGGAAACCGAGAAGAAGAAUGUACAAAUUAUGGCCGAACAAACAAACAAAGAGGCUUAAAAACUCUGACCCAAAGUUUCCGAAGUUUGGAAACAUUUCACUGAAAAUAAACCAGCGACACACAUUAAUUGCAGUCUCAAUGAAGCUCAACUCUCAUCCUAUGGCAGCACAUCCGCCAAUUCCUACUGGAUCCGUUUGUGAGGCAAAUUUCUUGGUGGAUUACGGAAUCGCAAGAACUCACAAGAAUCCGCGAUAACAAGUUGUCUUUAGCCACACAGGCUAACCAUAUAAGCAGUAGAUUGUGUCCUUCCAGAGGAGGAAAUCUACUUCUCGACUUCUAGAAUCAGCAUCUCCACAUCCAUGGUGUCAUCAGGGUGAAAUGGGGUCUAAAAACCUUUCACUUGUCUGGAAAAAAAAGAACUCUUUGACACGUUAACUUGAAUGGUUACGAUCAGCUACGAUCGGCGGAUACGGCCUUUUCGGAUGCGAUGGAAAUUGGGGGUAACAGGAUUGGGAUUUUAAACCAAACCAUGGUGGCCUCAUACCUCCACCUUUCUUUUGUUUUGUGGACUGUUGUCAGAAGCUUUCAUUGGAUAUCUGGGACUACGGGGUCUCCUGGGUUUGCUUUUCAGGUUGAAAUUAGGGAUCAUUAGACUCACGUCCCUGAUUGACAUCGUUUCAUGGACAUAUUCAGGUCUCUCAGAAGAUAUGGUGGUCUCCUUCUGGUGCUAUCUUCUGGACGGUUGGUACGAGGGAUUCAUGGUUUGAGAGAAACGAUCAUCACCAAGAAAAAGAAACCAUGAAAACGAUCUUUAACAGUUUCUGCUUUUUCUAACUUCUCCUUGUGACUCAGUGUUGUUAAAAUCUCUUUAACGGAGAGAAGCUCAUCUUUCUCGGCUGAAAACAAAUCCUCUCUAAUCUUACAUCACCGAAAAACAGACGUCUCUUUGCAGUUUCUCGUGUCCUGCGUUGUCUUGGCGAGGAUUCCUCGGCUUAUCCACGCUUCUUCUCCUCCUCCUCCUGGUCCAGACUUACAUAGGAUGAGGAGGAAAUGAUGAAUGAAAGCUUUGAUAGCCGUUUGGAAGCAGAUUCAGGAGGGUGGUCUUGUGUUGAUUGGCUGAAAUAAAGCAAUAAAGCAAUAAAGCACAUGUUGCCUUUUAUUCACAUCUGCAAAUAAUUCCCUGGAUUAGAGUCGGAAAAUUUGAGCCGAACGCGGAAAUGGUGGGUAAAACUCGUGAAUCCUGUGAGCUGUGAAUAAAGUUUUUUCUUUAUUGAAACAUUUGGACGAGGCGCGGUGACAGACACCGGUCCCUGAGGAUUAUGUCACAGCUCUGCAGAGUCCUGGGAGUCUCUGAGCAGAUUAGGAAUCAGGCUGAAAAUAAGCAGGAGAGCAGCUGGAGGGGUGACGAGAGUGAGAGUGAGCGAGUGAGUGUGCACAUGUCGGUGCAGAUGAGGCACCGAGGGAGUGAGUGAGUCCGCACUCAGGGGGUCAAGUUCUCUGUCCGUCAGUUUGUCAAUCAAUCAAAUAUCAUCAUCAAACCAGACGUCAUACAGGUGAGGAGAAGACGUCUCAACCAGGUCGAGGAAAAUGCUGGAAAUUCCUCACAGUAGCUUUAAAACACAUAAGGGACCGUCUCACUCCUGUUUGUGUGUUGGCUUCUUUUUAACAUCUCCCUCCUGUGUUUUUAAAGCUAAAGAAACCAUCUCAAUUAAAGGGGAGAGAGAGACAAAAACACAUAUUUAUCAUAAUUCCAAGAAAAUAAUACCAAAUGUGACGGACAGAAGUAGGAAUAAAAAACUAACAUACCUCGCUAAUGAUUUACGCCCCAUUAGCCUUGUGCUAACGUGUUUUGUCAAUUGUUUAGGGAGACAGCUAGAACUGUAGUUUGACUUAAAGGUGGGGUAGUCAGGAUCUGAGGAAGUUCCAGUUUUUAGGAGAAAUCUUGAAUAUAACCUCUACCCCUCCCAACCAGUUUUCCCCUCAGCUCCUCCUCUCCCCUCCCUCUCUGCUCCAUCAAGCCCCGCCCACAAACAGGCGCUCCUGCUCGCUCGUAUCGUUCCAAUUAAAUUCAGGUAUAAUGCAGAUAAAUACUUCAGAUAAUUACAAAUGGGGCCCAGUCAAGGUGAAAGUAAAAAGCAUUGGUGCUACUGUAGAUGCCAACAGACUACCAGCAAACACAAUGUUUGCAGGACUUCUACAACUAGGAUAAAGUGACAUAGUCCAGGACCCGAGGUCAACAGUUUAGCGGCGCUACAACACGCUACAGCAGGUCCGUUUGACAAGAAACACUUCUGUUACAGACACUUGGCUUACUUUGUUAAAGCGGUUUACCUGUCCAGCAGAAAGGUUACAGGGUCACCAAGAUCCCCAAGCGUCCCCCAUCGUUUAUGUUGACCCGGCUUUUUAGCUCUUGUCCAGUCUACCUCCUUUUUAAGCGCCUGUUAUUCCUCCAGAGUCUCCGGUAUUUACUUUGUUUUCUUGCUUGUGUCGGCAGUCAUGGCCAAAGGAGGAUUCAGACAAUUUUCCGAACUUUCUGGUUGGUUUCUACUGUCCGAUAUUGUAGCACGCUAACUUUGUUUGGGCUCGUGAACG
rnacentral:lncRNA from 1 species